rnacentral:lncRNA from 1 species
CUCAUGACUUGGAAGCGGUGGGCUGAGGCCUCCCAAGACCAUCUGGCUUGUUCCAUUGCCAGCCAGAGUGGAGGCGACAUUCACACGAACCCAGGAGCUGCAGGGGCGCGUGAGCUACAGCUGCCUUGUGGCAUCCAAGGAGUGCGCAACUAGUCUCACUCUGUUGCCCAGGCUGGAGUGCAGUGGCGCGAUCUCAGCUUACUUCAGCCUCCGCCUCCCGGUUUCAAGUGAAUUCUCCAGCCUCAACUUCACAAGUAGCUGGGAUUACAGCCACUUUUUAUCUUCUCUCCUGCAAUCCAACCCACAUAAUUUCCAUGAAGAAAGCGGAGUGGUGUCAUUUUACAACAAGAAAACUGAGUUAAGAAUAAGUCCAAUCAAUUGCUAGGUGUUGAGACUGAAAUGGAAGUCUCUUAGUACUCCACCCAAGGAUUUUCAUAUUAAACAAUUAUCUUGUCAUCAUUUUA